rnacentral:rRNA from 1 species
UACGUAGGGCGCAAGCGUUGUCCGGAAUUAUUGGGCGUAAAGAGCUCGUAGGUGGCUUGUCACGUCGGGUGUGAAAGCUUGGGGCUUAACCCGAGAUGGCCGUUGGAAACUGUCGUUCUUGAGGGUCGAAGAGGAGAGUGGAAUUCCUGGUGUAGCGGUGAAAUGCGCAGAUAUCAGGAGGAACACCGGUGGCGAAGGCGGAUCUCUGGGCCAUUACUGACGCUGAGGAGCGAAAGCGUGGGGAGCGAACAGG